UAAACACACGUGUGGCAAAUUGUCGUGCCCGGUUGACGGGAAAAAACAUACAAAAAGUACACUUUUCAAUCUAAAUGACAAGUCGGCACAUACUACAAGUAUCACAGAACAUUCUGAUAAAUCCAUCAGCAAUGAAACAGGAACCUGAGCUGUUCCUUAGAGGGCACCCCUCUGUAAUCGUGGAGCUGUGUCACCUUCUGUAGAACAUCUGAAUCAUCAUCUGCCAAAGAGCCAACCGACCCGCCAUCCAAGCCCCAAGCAUGAACGUUGGCAAUAUCAACGAUUCAAAGGAUCGAUGUGUGACAAAACGUAACCAACCCUGAGAUGAUACUAAGAGGCACCCUGAUGAACUCCAACCACUGGGUCAUCCUUUGCAGGUG